CCUACGGGAGGCAGCAGUGGGGAAUAUUGGACAAUGGGGGGAACCCUGAUCCAGCGACGCCGCGUGAGUGAAGAAGUAUUUCGGUACGUAAAGCUCUAUCAGCAGGGAAGAAAAUGACGGUACCUGACUAAGAAGCCCCGGCUAACUACGUGCCAGCAGCCGCGGUAAUACGUAGGGGGCAAGCGUUAUCCGGAUUUACUGGGUGUAAAGGGAGCGUAGACGGCAGCGCAAGUCUGGAGUGAAAUCCCAUGGCUUAACCAUGGAACUGCUUUGGAAACUGUGCAGCUAGAGUGCAGGAGAGGUAAGCGGAAUUCCUAGUGUAGCGGUGAAAUGCGUAGAUAUUAGGAGGAACACCAGUGGCGAAGGCGGCUUACUGGACUGUAACUGACGUUGAGGCUCGAAAGCGUGGGGAGCAAACAGGAUUAGAUACCCUAGUAGUC
rnacentral:rRNA from 1 species